GGAGCACACGCCGCUUCGUGUACCUCUCUGCAGCUGUCAAAUGGCUUUUGUUGUUUUGUUUUAGCUUUGUUUUCUUUUCCAUGAGCUGUUUUGUACAUGAUUAGCUUUGUUACCGGUAAUACGUCAGUUUAAGGCAAAUCUCGUUACGAAGUCGUACGUACCUUGAUAUUAACUGCUUAAAGGAAUAUCCAUAUCAUGGGGUUGGUGCAAACCAUCAGUGCCCAGCGCAGGAUGAAUGCCUCAGAUACGGAAUAUAUUGCAGUUUCUUCUCCAUACACUUUCCACGUGAGUAACAAACGCUUUCCUCAGAGAGAGCUCAUGCAACCACACUUUCAUCCUGCAAGCUGGAGAAGGCCACCUGUAAGUGAAGGGAGCGUUGGCUCAGAGCUGCAUGACUCUCGGGACUCUGAUUCUGAAAGCCUUGUUCUGGAAAGGCAGUAUCAGUUAGAACUCCAGCAGCGGAUUCGUGCGAAUGAUGAGCUGGUAGUACUGAGUGCUGGGGAGCUGGAGAACGACAGCUUAGAGGAAGAAGAUAGCUUGGAGAAGAUGAGUUUAGAGGAGCAAGAAGGAGCUAAGUACGACACAGUGCAAUCUACACACGGAGUACAAAAUAAAGAAAGUGAUGGAAGGGAACAGCAGCCUGUAGACAAAUAUUUCAGCCUGAAGUACAAUCCUAACUGGAAGAACACAAAAGAGGCAGUGGAAUUUUCUGCAGUAGAAAAAACACACCAAGUUGCUGAAGAAGGCAGCGUGGACCUUUCCCAAGGUUCCCAAGAUUCAUUUUACCUCCAUUCCAGCGGCUCCUCAGAAGAAAAGAAUCAGCAGCAGUCAAAGUUUCAGGAGUCAUUCUCUGAGUUUGGUACAGAAUUACUAAGCUUUCACGAGCCAAAUGCCUUCGUCUGCAGCGAACCUUUUAGGUUACAUACCAGAGGGAAUGAAUCUUCAGAUGGCUAUUAUUUCAAAGACAGUCCUAGUACAUACUGCAGUGCUUUUUCUCUUCAGAUUCCGGAAGAUCGACCCCAAAGAGCAAAAAAAGACUUUGUGAAAAAAAACAAACGGACUUUAGGAUUGCGUACAGACAAGAACAAUUCCUAUCUUCAGUUACACAGCAAAAAGCAAGAAGUUUGUCAAGAGCAGGUUGCAGAUACUAAAACUGUUGAUGAGGAAUCCGUUCAUAGUGCCUUGCCAUACCAGAACACAAAAAUGGACCCCGAAGACAAAUGGUACCUGAAGUCACAGCAGCUCAAGGAUCACCAGGAUAAGUGGUCCCAAAGAAACAAAGUAAAAUCCAUCCAGACUCUCGAGGGGAGGGCUUUUUCAAGGAGUGAUAACCAUCAGCCACCAGGAAGACCAGCAAAACCAAAGUCCUGGCACUGGAAGCAGCACCAGAUGUCAGAAUUUCAGACUGCUCCCAUGCAGGCAGUGGAGCAAGACAACAGCAGUGCACUGCAGAAGUGGCUAUGCCCAAGUCUUUCUGUUGGCCCUUACACUAAUACAGCAGCAAAUUCAGAUACUUGCUUAAAUAAUUUCCCACAUUCAGGACAUCAUGUCAAUCAGGAUUUUACUGUGUCUACCUAUUCUUUUCAUCCAACACAACAUAAAUUCAACCUGGAAGAGGUUGGAUCACAAGCAUGUACUAGCAAGAAGAACAAGAAUUGCCAGCAUGAUCGACUAAAUGGUCUCCCACAUGGCCAGCAACAUUUAUACAACCAUGCUACCAUGCCAUUUUUUCCAAGAGACAGCAGUACCAGUAACCAAGAACAUCCAAAUCAAAAGAAUAUUUCAUCUACUUUUAAUGCUAGCUAUCAAGAAAUGGUAAAGGAUCCAGUAUUGCUUCAGGACUGCAAAAGACACCUUUAUGCCAGCAGUAGUUUGUGGCCUUCCCAAUCUUCUAUUCACAGUUCACCAGCAGCCCUUUGUACAGCCUCCCAGCUUACACAAACCAUGGAGCAACGUCACCAAGAAAUGCCUUGUUUAAAAGAAGCUCACUUCGCUGAUGACUUGCACUUGUUCAGCCCACUUCCAUCUCUGAUACCACAGGUAGGAAGUGAUUUACAGGUAGAUCCAGAGAGAGGCGACAGAAAUCAGUUGAAAAUUAUUCGAAGCAACUCUGAAGGAUAUCUCAUGCAAAUGGAAAAGCAAAAACAGCAUAAAGUCUACAAGAAGAGAAAGCACAUGAAUACACGAUGACUUGCCCAGAGCAUUAAAAACGAAGGAACAAAGGUGGAAACAGACGCUGACAAUGAAGACAUUUACUGGUGUUUUUUCUGACCAAAUCAUUUUAACCUAGAGAGCGAGGUAGUUUGCCACCUCUCCCUCCAUCACUUUGAGACUUGAUUGUCUCUAAGAACACACAGAACAGUGUUUGUCCUUUCGGGUAUCCAGUGAUAAAAUGAUUUAGAAUAAAGCUGUUUGUAUAAAGCAGCAGGUAGCCAGACUUCAGAUCUGAACAAACCAUUAUCCUGGUCAUGCUCAUUUGCUAUCCCACUCAAAUCUCUUGGUUUCCAAGGGAAUCAAACUGAACAAGACCAAACUUAGAGGAUUUGUAAAGCUAACAGCAUAAACAUUAUUACAGGUCUGCUGACAAUCCCACUGUGGUCCUUAUUAAAACUUGCUUCCUUUUGUUUUUUCUGUGUGUCCAGAUUUCAUACUGUAACCAGUUACACAGAUGCAGUAGAACAGCACAGAGGUAUCCCUGUGCGUCCAUGACGAAUUAAAUGUUUAAGAAGUUAGCUCCACAUUUCAGGGCAGACAAACUAAGCUGGAGUAAUUACGUGCUUUAUCAAGGAGGCAGUUUGUGUAUUGCUGCUUGAAUGCCUCUGAGAAGAAUUAGCUGGAUUACGAUCAUCACUGAAGGGCAGAUUUCCUUCCCUUUCUGUUCCCCUGAGUUCAAGAAAUUAUUUUUGUCCUGCGUUUUCAGUAGCUUUCUCACACAUUGUGUGUGAGGAAUGCCCCAAGAAUACGACUCUUUGUGUCUCACAGACCUUUUUGUAAUAAACAAACGCAGUCAUACUCAUGGCAUGCACAUUUUGGCUUUGAAAAUGCAGCAGAAGUGAGCACUGUGUAUACCAUUAAAUGAUCAGCUCUUCACAGCACCUGAAGUGAGAGGUUAGGGAUACCACCUAAGAGUAGGAGCAACUGACAUAAACAUCAGAUAGAAAUUUCAGUGCUUAGGUUUAGUUUCUUUGCAGUUGAGUUUAACUUGAACAUGUGCACAUUUCAUUCACAUACUGAAAGUUCUUGCUGUUUCUGCAUUGCUUUGAGACUGAAAUUGCUACAGAGCUGACCGUAAUGAGUUCUCCCUGACAAUUUCUUCAAAUAUAUUCAAUUUUAAAAAAUUAACCCAGUCUUCUUAAAAGAGAGCUUGAAAAAUUCUUUGUAGUAAAGUCUCAAAGGGUUCAAACGGCAUCAUUUGUCUUCCCUAUGCACUUGUAAAACUUUCUGUGCUGCAAGAUAUAUUUUUCAACAGCCAGGCAAUGAUUUUACAUUGCAGUUUGAAAACUAGGAAAGGUUACUAUAACAAAUAAUAGAUGCGUAUUUUUUUGCCACCAAUGUCAGGCAUUUUUGUCUGCUUCUCUUAUAAAACUUUCUCUGCAAUUUCAUUCUGAUAGCUGUCAAAUGGGUCACUGUCACCUAUUUAAAGCUCACAAAGUGUCAUUUUUGACUGAGAAAGUACUGCUUUGUAAUUUGGAUGAUUGGUAAUUACCCAUCUAGAUUCAAAGGAAAUACAGAAUAAUUUGGUUUCCACAAUUACCUCGAUCUUUUUGGUCACUUAGAAUUCUUGAAAUGAGACAUGCCAGAGUUAAGACUGAGACUGCGAGUUGAAUCCUGAAGUUUGGUGUCCACUACAACACUGGUUUUAGUUAUGCUGUCCAUGAAAUUGUAUAUAUAAAGGAAAAUCUGUCACUGAGGUGUGUUUUUCAGCCAUAUAGCUCAAAAGCAUAUAUCAAUCUUGAUGUGAAGCUUGGAGGCCUUGGACCUGACUAUGAAGCAAUCAAGGAAAAAGUAAAAGGAGAAGUUAAAGCAACAGAAGGAAUAUGCGCAGCGAAUUAAGGAGCACAACAUGAAAAACAUAG